rnacentral:rRNA from 1 species
ACGAACGCUGGCGGCGUGCUUAACACAUGCAAGUCGAACGGAAAGGCCUGCUUUCCCUUGUGGAUUGCGGGUGCUCGAGUGGCGAACGGGUGAGUAACACGUGAGUGAUCUGCCCCCAACUUGGGUAUAAGCCUGGGAAACUGGGUCUAAUUCCCGAUAGGACUGCAGGGUGGUGCCUGUGGUGGAAAACGAUUUUCUAGUGGUUGGGGAUGAGCUCGCGGCCUAUCAGCUUGUUGGUGGGGUAAUGGCCUACCAAGGCGGCGACGGGUAGCCGGCCUGAGAGGGUGGACGGCCACAUUGGGACUGAGAUACGGCCCAGACGCCUACGGGAGGCAGCAGUGGGGAAUAGUGCACAAUGGGCGGAAGCCUGAUGCAGCGACGCCGCGUGGGGGAUGACGGCCUUCGGGUGGUAAACUCCUUUCGACCGCGAGGAAGCCACCUGGUUGGAAGGGUGGUGACGGUAGUGGUAGAAGAAGCACCGGCUAACUACGUG